GGCUACGAUCUUUAGCUGGUCUGAGAGGACGAUCAGCCACAUUGGGACUGAGACACGGCCCAGACUCCUACGGGAGGCAGCAGUGGGGAAUAUUGGACAAUGGGCGCAAGCCUGAUCCAGCCAUACCGCGUGUGUGAAGAAGGCCUUCGGGUUGUAAAGCACUUUAAGCAGGGAGAAAAAGCAAUAAGUUAAUACCUUAUUGCCGUGAUGUUACCUGCAGAAUAAGCACCGGCUAAUUCCGUGCCAGCAGCCGCGGUAAUACGGAAGGUGCAAGCGUUAAUCGGAAUUACUGGGCGUAAAGCGCGCGUAGGUGGUUUGUUAAGUUGGAUGUGAAAGCCCUGGGCUCAACCUAGGAACUGCAUCCAAAACUAACUCACUAGAGUACGAUAGAGGGAGGUAGAAUUCAUAGUGUAGCGGUGGAAUGCGUAGAUAUUAUGAAGAAUACCAGUGGCGAAGGCGGCCUCCUGGAUCUGUACUGACACUAAGGUGCGAAAGCGUGGGUAGCGAACAGGAUUAGAUACCCUGGUAGUCCACGCCGUAAACGAUGACAACUAGCUGUUGGGAGACAAUGUCUUUCAGUGGCGCAGCUAACGUUUUAAGUUGUCCGCCUGGGGAGUACGGCCGCAAGGCUAAAACUCAAAUGAAUUGACGGGGACCCGCACAAGCGGUGGAGCAUGUGGUUUAAUUCGAUGCAACGCGAAAAACCUUACCUACUCUUGACAUACUUGGAAGCUCUUGUAAUGAGAGUGUGCCUUUUGGAGCCAAGAUACAGGUGCUGCAUGGCUGUCGUCAGCUCGUGUCGUGAGAUGUUCCGUUAAGUCGGAUAACGAGCGCAACCCUUACCCUUAUUUGCCAGCGAUUCGGUCGGGAACUAUAAGGGGACUGCCGGUGAUAAACCGGAGGAAGGUGAGGACGACGUCAAGUCAUCAUGGCCCUUACGAGUAGGGCUACACACGUGCUACAAUG
rnacentral:rRNA from 1 species